rnacentral:rRNA from 1 species
CCUACGGGUGGCAGCAGUGAGGAAUAUUGGUCAAUGGGCGCGAGCCUGAACCAGCCAAGUAGCGUGAAGGAUGACUGCCCUACGGGUUGUAAACUUCUUUUAUAAAGGAAUAAAGUGAUGCACGUGUGCCUUUUUGUAUGUACUUUAUGAAUAAGGAUCGGCUAACUCCGUGCCAGCAGCCGCGGUAAUACGGAGGAUCCAAGCGUUAUCCGGAUUUAUUGGGUUUAAAGGGUGCGUAGGCGGAUUGUUAAGUCAGAUGUGAAAGGUCGGGGCUUAACUCGAGAACUGCAUUUAAUACUGGCGGUCUUGAGAACAGAUGAGGUAGGCGGAAUGUAUGGUGUAGCGGUGAAAUGCUUAGAGAUCACACAGAACUCCGAUUGCGAAGGCAGCUUACUAAACUAUAUCUGACGUUGAGGCACGAAAGUGUGGGGAGCAAACAGGAUUAGAUACCCGAGUAGUC